rnacentral:rRNA from 1 species
CCUACGGGGGGCAGCAGUGGGGAAUAUUGGACAAUGGGGGCAACCCUGAUCCAGCCAUGCCGCGUGUGUGAAGAAGGCCCUCGGGUUGUAAAGCACUUUCAGUGAGGAAGAACGCCUGGUGGUUAAUACCCAUCAGGAAAGACAUCACUCACAGAAGAAGCACCGGCUAACUCCGUGCCAGCAGCCGCGGUAAUACGGAGGGUGCGAGCGUUAAUCGGAAUUACUGGGCGUAAAGCGCGCGUAGGUGGCUUGAUAAGCCGGUUGUGAAAGCCCCGGGCUCAACCUGGAAACGGCAUCCGGAACUGUCAAGCUAGAGUGCAGGAGAGGAAGGUAGAAUUCCCGGUGUAGCGGUGAAAUGCGUAGAGAUCGGGAGGAAUACCAGUGGCGAAGGCGGCCUUCUGGACUGACACUGACACUGAGGUGCGAAAGCGUGGGUAGCAAACAGGAUUAGAUACCCCAGUAGUC